rnacentral:rRNA from 1 species
UACAGAGGGGGCAAGCGUUGCUCGGAAUUAUUGGGCGUAAAGGGUAGGUAGGUGGUCUCAUUUGUCCGGGGUGAAAGCCUUGAGCUUAACUCAAGAAGUGCCCCGGAAACGGUGAGACUGGAGUCUUGGAGAGGGUCGUGGAAUUCCCGGUGUAGCGGUGAAAUGCGUAGAGAUCGGGAGGAACACCAGAGGCGAAAGCGGCGACCUGGACAAGUACUGACACUCAACUACGAAAGCGUGGGGAGCAAACAGG